AUGAACGAAAAGCGAGAUGAUUCAAAUCAAUUGAUAGAUGGCCUGAUCUGUUCUGAUAGAUCGAAAGGUUUUCUAUCAAUAAUAAGGGUUGACCUCUUUCUAUCUAUUGAUGAUACAAGAUAUCUAUCUAUUCUGGAUCCAUCAGAAAGAAAUCGAUAUGUAUCUGAUUUUUUCUACAUCGUAUGUAGAGCGCCCAAGCGUUUGGCCAGCUCAGUUCUAUUAUCCAUCGGUCCAAUGCACUGGCUCAUCUCAUGGAGGGAAAAAGCAAAUGUAGUUAGUUGUCUUGUUGUUGUUCGCCGCCUCGACACAUUCCACGGCAUCGUCCCACACAGAAAGAAAGAGCGUGGAGCCCCGGCCCGACCUGUAAGUCCGCUAACGUAA
rnacentral:rRNA from 1 species